rnacentral:rRNA from 1 species
GAUUAAGUUAUUAAGGGCGCACGGUGGAUGCCUUGGCACUAGAAGCCGAUGAAGGACGUUACUAACGACGAUAUGCUUUGGGGAGCUGUAAGUAAGCUUUGACCCAGAGAUUUCCGAAUGGGGAAACCCAGCAUGAGUUAUGUCAUGUUAUCGAUAUGUGAAUACAUAGCAUAUCAGAAGGCACACCCGGAGAACUGAAACAUCUUAGUACCCGGAGGAAGAGAAAGAAAAUUCGAUUCCCUUAGUAGCGGCGAGCGAAACGGGAAGAGCCCAAACCAACAAGCUUGCUUGUUGGGGUUGUAGGACACUCUAUACGGAGUUACAAAGGACGACAUUAGACGAAUCAUCUGGAAAGAUGAAUCAAAGAAGGUAAUAAUCCUGUAGUCGAAAAUGUUGUCUCUCUUGAGUGGAUCCUGAGUACGACGGAGCACGUGAAAUUCCGUCGGAAUCUGGGAGGACCAUCUCCUAAGGCUAAAUACUCUCUAGUGACCGAUAGUGAACCAGUACCGUGAGGGAAAGGUGAAAAGCACCCCGGAAGGGGAGUGAAAUAGAACCUGAAACCGUGUGCUUACAAGUAGUCAGAGCCCGUUAAUGGGUGAUGGCGUGCCUUUUGUAGAAUGAACCGGCGAGUUACGAUUUGAUGCAAGGUUAAGCAGUAAAUGUGGAGCCGUAGCGAAAGCGAGUCUGAAUAGGGCGUUUAGUAUUUGGUCGUAGACCCGAAACCAGGUGAUCUACCCUUGGUCAGGUUGAAGUUCAGGUAACACUGAAUGGAGGACCGAACCGACUUACGUUGAAAAGUGAGCGGAUGAACUGAGGGUAGCGGAGAAAUUCCAAUCGAACCUGGAGAUAGCUGGUUCUCUCCGAAAUAGCUUUAGGGCUAGCCUCAAGUGAUGAUUAUUGGAGGUAGAGCACUGUUUGGACGAGGGGCCCCUCUCGGGUUACCGAAUUCAGACAAACUCCGAAUGCCAAUUAAUUUAACUUGGGAGUCAGAACAUGGGUGAUAAGGUCCGUGUUCGAAAGGGAAACAGCCCAGACCACCAGCUAAGGUCCCAAAAUAUAUGUUAAGUGGAAAAGGAUGUGGCGUUGCCCAGACAACUAGGAUGUUGGCUUAGAAGCAGCCAUCAUUUAAAGAGUGCGUAAUAGCUCACUAGUCGAGUGACACUGCGCCGAAAAUGUACCGGGGCUAAACAUAUUACCGAAGCUGUGGAUUGUCCUUUGGACAAUGGUAGGAGAGCGUUCUAAGGGCGUUGAAGCAUGAUCGUAAGGACAUGUGGAGCGCUUAGAAGUGAGAAUGCCGGUGUGAGUAGCGAAAGACGGGUGAGAAUCCCGUCCACCGAUUGACUAAGGUUUCCAGAGGAAGGCUCGUCCGCUCUGGGUUAGUCGGGUCCUAAGCUGAGGCCGACAGGCGUAGGCGAUGGAUAACAGGUUGAUAUUCCUGUACCACCUAUAAUCGUUUUAAUCGAUGGGGGGACGCAGUAGGAUAGGCGAAGCGUGCGAUUGGAUUGCACGUCUAAGCAGUAAGGCUGAGUAUUAAGCAAAUCCGGUACUCGUUAAGGCUGAGCUGUGAUGGGGAGAAGACAUUGUGUCUUCGAGUCGUUGAUUUCACACUGCCGAGAAAAGCCUCUAGAUAGAAAAUAGGUGCCCGUACCGCAAACCGACACAGGUAGUCAAGAUGAGAAUUCUAAGGUGAGCGAGCGAACUCUCGUUAAGGAACUCGGCAAAAUGACCCCGUAACUUCGGGAGAAGGGGUGCUCUUUAGGGUUAACGCCCAGAAGAGCCGCAGUGAAUAGGCCCAAGCGACUGUUUAUCAAAAACACAGGUCUCUGCUAAACCGUAAGGUGAUGUAUAGGGGCUGACGCCUGCCCGGUGCUGGAAGGUUAAGAGGAGUGGUUAGCUUCUGCGAAGCUACGAAUCGAAGCCCCAGUAAACGGCGGCCGUAACUAUAACGGUCCUAAGGUAGCGAAAUUCCUUGUCGGGUAAGUUCCGACCCGCACGAAAGGCGUAACGAUUUGGGCACUGUCUCAACGAGAGACUCGGUGAAAUCAUAGUACCUGUGAAGAUGCAGGUUACCCGCGACAGGACGGAAAGACCCCGUGGAGCUUUACUGUAGCCUGAUAUUGAAAUUCGGCACAGCUUGUACAGGAUAGGUAGGAGCCUUUGAAACGUGAGCGCUAGCUUACGUGGAGGCGCUGGUGGGAUACUACCCUAGCUGUGUUGGCUUUCUAACCCGCACCACUUAUCGUGGUGGGAGACAGUGUCAGGCGGGCAGUUUGACUGGGGCGGUCGCCUCCUAAAAGGUAACGGAGGCGCUCAAAGGUUCCCUCAGAAUGGUUGGAAAUCAUUCAUAGAGUGUAAAGGCAUAAGGGAGCUUGACUGCGAGACCUACAAGUCGAGCAGGGUCGAAAGACGGACUUAGUGAUCCGGUGGUUCCGCAUGGAAGGGCCAUCGCUCAACGGAUAAAAGCUACCCCGGGGAUAACAGGCUUAUCUCCCCCAAGAGUUCACAUCGACGGGGAGGUUUGGCACCUCGAUGUCGGCUCAUCGCAUCCUGGGGCUGUAGUCGGUCCCAAGGGUUGGGCUGUUCGCCCAUUAAAGCGGUACGCGAGCUGGGUUCAGAACGUCGUGAGACAGUUCGGUCCCUAUCCGUCGUGGGCGUAGGAAAUUUGAGAGGAGCUGUCCUUAGUACGAGAGGACCGGGAUGGACAUACCUCUGGUGUACCAGUUGUCGUGCCAACGGCAUAGCUGGGUAGCUAUGUGUGGACGGGAUAAGUGCUGAAAGCAUCUAAGCAUGAAGCCCCCCUCAAGAUGAGAUUUCCCAACUUCGGUUAUAAGAUC